rnacentral:rRNA from 1 species
GAUGAACGCUGGCGGCGUGCCUAAUACAUGCAAGUCGAGCGAACGGACGAGAAGCUUGCUUCUCUGAUGUUAGCGGCGGACGGGUGAGUAACACGUGGAUAACCUACCUAUAAGACUGGGAUAACUUCGGGAAACCGGAGCUAAUACCGGAUAAUAUUUUGAACCGCAUGGUUCAAAAGUGAAAGACGGUCUUGCUGUCACUUAUAGAUGGAUCCGCGCUGCAUUAGCUAGUUGGUAAGGUAACGGCUUACCAAGGCAACGAUGCAUAGCCGACCUGAGAGGGUGAUCGGCCACACUGGAACUGAGACACGGUCCAGACUCCUACGGGAGGCAGCAGUAGGGAAUCUUCCGCAAUGGGCGAAAGCCUGACGGAGCAACGCCGCGUGAGUGAUGAAGGUCUUCGGAUCGUAAAACUCUGUUAUUAGGGAAGAACAUAUGUGUAAGUAACUGUGCACAUCUUGACGGUACCUAAUCAGAAAGCCACGGCUAACUACGUGCCAGCAGCCGCGGUAAUACGUAGGUGGCAAGCGUUAUCCGGAAUUAUUGGGCGUAAAGCGCGCGUAGGCGGUUUUUUAAGUCUGAUGUGAAAGCCCACGGCUCAACCGUGGAGGGUCAUUGGAAACUGGAAAACUUGAGUGCAGAAGAGGAAAGUGGAAUUCCAUGUGUAGCGGUGAAAUGCGCAGAGAUAUGGAGGAACACCAGUGGCGAAGGCGACUUUCUGGUCUGUAACUGACGCUGAUGUGCGAAAGCGUGGGGAUCAAACAGGAUUAGAUACCCUGGUAGUCCACGCCGUAAACGAUGAGUGCUAAGUGUUAGGGGGUUUCCGCCCCUUAGUGCUGCAGCUAACGCAUUAAGCACUCCGCCUGGGGAGUACGACCGCAAGGUUGAAACUCAAAGGAAUUGACGGGGACCCGCACAAGCGGUGGAGCAUGUGGUUUAAUUCGAAGCAACGCGAAGAACCUUACCAAAUCUUGACAUCCUUUGACAACUCUAGAGAUAGAGCCUUCCCCUUCGGGGGACAAAGUGACAGGUGGUGCAUGGUUGUCGUCAGCUCGUGUCAUGAGAUGUUGGGUUAAGUCCCGCAACGAGCGCAACCCUUAAGCUUAGUUGCCAUCAUUAAGUUGGGCACUCUAAGUUGACUGCCGGUGACAAACCGGAGGAAGGUGGGGAUGACGUCAAAUCAUCAUGCCCCUUAUGAUUUGGGCUACACACGUGCUACAAUGGACAAUACAAAGGGCAGCGAAACCGCGAGGUCAAGCAAAUCCCAUAAGGUUGUUCUCAGUUCGGAUUGUAGUCUGCAACUCGACUACAUGAAGCUGGAAUCGCUAGUAAUCGUAGAUCAGCAUGCUACGGUGAAUACGUUCCCGGGUCU